rnacentral:rRNA from 1 species
UGGGGAAUAUUGGACAAUGGGGGCAACCCUGAUCCAGCAAUGCCGCGUGUGUGAAGAAGGUCUUCGGAUUGUAAAGCACUUUCGACGGGGACGAUGAUGACGGUACCCGUAGAAGAAGCCCCGGCUAACUUCGUGCCAGCAGCCGCGGUAAUACGAAGGGGGCUAGCGUUGCUCGGAAUGACUGGGCGUAAAGGGCGUGUAGGCGGUUUACACAGUCAGAUGUGAAAUCCCCGGGCUUAACCUGGGAGCUGCAUUUGAUACGUGUGGACUAGAGUGUGAGAGAGGGUUGUGGAAUUCCCAGUGUAGAGGUGAAAUUCGUAGAUAUUGGGAAGAACACCGGUGGCGAAGGCGGCAACCUGGCUCAUUACUGACGCUGAGGCGCGAAAGCGUGGGGAGCAAACAGGAUUAGAUACCCUGGUAGUCCACGCUGUAAACGAUGUGUGCUAGAUGUUGGGUAACUUUUGGUU